rnacentral:rRNA from 1 species
UACGGAGGGUGCAAGCGUUGUCCGGAAUCACUGGGCGUAAAGGGCGCGUAGGCGGCUCGGCAAGUAGGGGGUGAAAUCCUGCGGCUUAACCGCAGGGCUGCCUUCUAAACUGUCGAGCUUGAGCACGGUAGAGGCAGAUGGAAUUCCCGGUGUAGCGGUGGAAUGCGUAGAGAUCGGGAAGAACAUCAGUGGCGAAGGCGGUCUGCUGGGCCGUUGCUGACGCUGAGGCGCGACAGCGUGGGGAGCAAACAGG